rnacentral:rRNA from 1 species
GUAGGUGGCAAGCGUUGUCCGGAAUUAUUGGGCGUAAAGCGCGCGCAGGCGGUUCUUUAAGUCUGAUGUGAAAGCCCACGGGCUCAACCGUGGAGGGUCAUUGGAAACUGGAGAACUUGAGUACAGGAGAGGAAAGCGGAAUUCCACGUGUAGCGGUGAAAUGCGUAGAGAUGUGGAGGAACACCAGUGGCGAAGGCGGCUUUCUGGUCUGUAACUGACGCUGAGGCGCGAAAGCGUGGGGAGCAAACAGGAUUAGAUACCCUGGUAGUCCACGCCGUAAACGAUGAGUGCUAAGUGUUAGGGGGUUUCCGCCCCUUAGUGCUGCAGCUAACGCAUUAAGCACUCCGCCUGGGGAGUACGGCCGCAAGGCUG